GUGCUCGAUUCGGCAGCACAUAUACUAAAAUUGGGACGAUACAGAGAAGAUGAUCAUAACCCUUGCGCAAGGAUGACACGCAAAUUUGUGAGACAUUCCGUAUUUAG
ensembl:snRNA U6 U6 spliceosomal RNA